GGCUCAAUGGUCUAGUAGUAUGAUUCCUGCUUAGGGUGCAGGAGGUCCCGGGUUCAAUUCCCGGUUGAGCCC